rnacentral:rRNA from 1 species
AUUGAACGCUGGCGGCAGGCUUAACACAUGCAAGUCGAGCGAGCGGCGGACGGGUGAGUAAUGUCUGGGAACCUGCCUGAUGGAGGGGGAUAACUACGGGAAACGGUAGCUAAUACCGCAUACCAUCAGAUGUGCCCAGAUGGGAUUGGCGAGUAGGUGGGGUAAUGGCGCACCUAGGGGACGAUCCCUAGCUGGUCUGAGAGGAGGACCGGCCACACUGGAACUGAGACACGGGCCAGACUCCUACGGGAGGCAGCAGUGGGGAAUAUUGCACAAUGGGCGCAAGCCUGAUGCAGCCAUGCCGCGUGUGUGAAGAAGGCCUUCGGGUUGUAAAGCACUUUUGGCGGGGAGGCGUUACUCGCAGAAGAAGCACCGGCUAACUCCGUGCCAGCCGCCGCGGUAAUUC